rnacentral:rRNA from 1 species
ACGAACGCUGGCGGCGUGCCUAAUACAUGCAAGUAGAACGCUGAAGGAGGAGCUUGCUUCUCUGGAUGAGUUGCGAACGGGUGAGUAACGCGUUGGUAACCUGCCUGGUAGCGGGGGAUAACUAUUGGAAACGAUAGCUAAUACCGCAUAAUAGCAGUUGUUGCAUGACAACUGUUUGAAAGGUGCAAUUGCACCACUACCAGAUGGACCUGCGUUGUAUUAGCUAGUUGGUGGGGUAACGGCUCACCAAGGCGACGAUACAUAGCCGACCUGAGAGGGUGAUCGGCCACACUGGGACUGAGACACGGCCCAGACUCCUACGGGAGGCAGCAGUAGGGAAUCUUCGGCAAUGGACGGAAGUCUGACCGAGCAACGCCGCGUGAGUGAAGAAGGUUUUCGGAUCGUAAAGCUCUGUUGUAAGAGAAGAACGAGUGUGAGAGUGGAAAGUUCACACUGUGACGGUAUCUUACCAGAAAGGGACGGCUAACUACGUG